GACUUUCUGUAGUCUGCCCACAGCACUGGCUCUUGGUUGUAUCUUUUAGGCACACCAGAAUCAUCUGAGAAGACUUCAAAUAGACACUGCCAGAGCACUGCCUGGAUCUUGCCACAGUGGAAUCUUCCAUGUCACCUGGGUCAACCGUAAGUUCUGAGAGCCACAGUUCCAAGUAUUGUACUGUCCAACACUGGUGACAAAUGAGUGCGUUACAAUGGAGGAGUGCACAUGGAUUUACCGCCAGAAAUCCUCAGUUUUUA
rnacentral:lncRNA from 1 species